UAGUGAUAGGCGGCGGGUGAGUAAUGCUUGGGAACAUGCCUUGAGGUGGGGGACAACAGUUGGAAACGACUGCUAAUACCGCAUAAUGUCUACGGACCAAAGGGGGCUUCGGCUCUCGCCUUUAGAUUGGCCCAAGUGGGAUUAGCUAGUUGGUGAGGUAAUGGCUCACCAAGGCGACGAUCCCUAGCUGGUUUGAGAGGAUGAUCAGCCACACUGGGACUGAGACACGGCCCAGACUCCUACGGGAGGCAGCAGUGGGGAAUAUUGCACAAUGGGCGCAAGCCUGAUGCAGCCAUGCCGCGUGUGUGAAGAAGGCCUUCGGGUUGUAAAGCACUUUCAGUCAGGAGGAAAGGUUAGUAGUUAAUACAAAAAUAGCUGUGACGUUACUGACAGAAGAAGCACCGGCUAACUCCGUGCCAGCAGCCGCGGUAAUACGGAGGGUGCGAGCGUUAAUCGGAAUUACUGGGCGUAAAGCGUACGCAGGCGGUUUGUUAAGCGAGAUGUGAAAGCCCCGGGCUCAACCUGGGAACUGCAUUUCGAACUGGCAAACUAGAGUGUGAUAGAGGGUGGUAGAAUUUCAGGUGUAGCGGUGAAAUGCGUAGAGAUCUGAAGGAAUACCGAUGGCGAAGGCAGCCACCUGGGUCAACACUGACGCUCAUGUACGAAAGCGUGGG
rnacentral:rRNA from 1 species